GGAGGCUCCAGUAGGUGUCGCUGUUCCCACAGCACAGGGUAUAAAAGGAAGUUGAUGUGUGGUUGCUAGGUGCUAGCUUCCUGUUGUGGGACGGGGCGGCUGACGAAGCUGCGUCAGCUGAUGCGAGUCUGAGUUUGCAACAUCACGGCAGCGGUAGAUCCGGACUGACCGGGGGGUUUUAAAGACUGGGCUUGUGGUUUUGCGACGCACCAGAUUGAAUCCACAACCUGAAGCUUAUUGAACCCUCGCGCUCUCGCAUGGAGUCCAGAUGAGCCCACCCACCCUUACACUGAUGUUGGAUCCCUCCUAUGAUGAAGGUGUACAAAGGUGGAACAGAUUUUAUAUGUGCCACGGACGCCCAAGAAGGGGAUUAAUCCUGGAAAAAAGUUUAGCGAGCCAGAUGACCCCACUUUGAAUGUAAACAUGCCUAGGACAAGCUUUAGAGUAUAUGUUUUGAGAGAUGUGCGGGGCUGCCAGUCAUCAUGAAGACCCUUUUUGCUGUUUUCCCUGUUUUCACCACUGCCUUUUUUCUGUCUUUGCUUCUGAAACAUCCAAGUGUGUUUUAGCUUGUAACGUACACCUUAUAUGUUUGGACUUAUGGCAAAGUCUUAAUUUUGUUUACUUUAUAAAGUUAGAGUGAGUUCUGUUGAGUGCUUCUUCACAUCCAGUUCUUUAGAAUGUUUCAGUUAAUUCAUAGUAACUCAUUUCUACUCAAAUCAGGGCAAAUUUAAAACACAAGAACACAAUCUUU